UACGGGGGGGGGCAAGCGUUGUUCGGAAUUACUGGGCGUAAAGGGCUCGUAGGUGGCCAACUAAGUCAGACGUGAAAUCCCUCGGCUUAACCGGGGAACUGCGUCUGAUACUGGAUGGCUGGAGUAUGGGAGAGGGAUGCGGAAUUCCAGGUGUAGCGGUGAAAUGCGUAGAUAUCUGGAGGAACACCGGUGGCGAAGGCGGCAUCCUGGACCAUUACUGACGCUGAGGAGCGAAAGCCAGGGGAGCAAACGGG
rnacentral:rRNA from 1 species